AUCCAGUUGACGACUCCUAAAUAGGAUGAAACGCUCGUCAUACUGGAU
rnacentral:hammerhead_ribozyme from 1 species